AAUAUUGGACAAUGGGGGCAACCCUGAUCCAGCCAUGCCGCGUGUGUGAAGAAGGUCAUCGGAUUGUAAAGCACUAUAAGUUGGGAGGAAGGGCUUUAGGUUAAUACCCUGAAGUUGUGACGUUACCUACCGAAUAAGCACCGGCUAACUCUGUGCCAGCAGCCGCGGUAAUAAAGGGGGUGCAAGCGUUAAUCGGAAUUACUGGGCGUAAAGCGAGCGUAGGUGGUUCAGUAAGAUGGGUGUGAAAUCCCCGGGCUUAACCUGGGAACUGCUUUCAUAACUGCUGAGCUAGAGUAAGGUAGAGGGUAGUGGAAUUUCCUGUGUAGCGGUGAAAUGCGUAGAUAUAGGAAGGAACACCAGUGGCGAAGGCGACUACCUGGACUGAUACUGACACUGAGGUGCGAAAGCGUGGGGAGCAAAC
rnacentral:rRNA from 1 species